GAGUGUUAGGUUGAUCUAGCUGUGAAAUCUCUCACCAUAUUAGUCACCAUGAUUGAUCUGGCUGACACCACUGGCUUGUUGGAUUUCCCCUUUCUUCUCCAGUCGAUAUGAGUGAGGGCCACUGCAAAGAAGCUGUGUGCUGAAUACAAGAGAAUGGCCUUUCUUACAGAGGGAUCCCAGUUCCCCAUGCACUCCCACUAGAUUGUUACUCUAAACAAGCUCUAAACAUCCAUUACGUAUGUAUUUUUCUUACUAACAUCUCUAAGUUGUGAGCUU
rnacentral:sRNA from 1 species